CUCUGUCCCGCAUGGGACGGGGUUAAAAGCUCCGGCGGUGAAGGAUGAGCCCGCGGCCUAUCAGCUUGUUGGUGGGGUAAUGGCCUACCAAGGCGACGACGGGUAGCCGGCCUGAGAGGGCGACCGGCCACACUGGGACUGAGACACGGCCCAGACUCCUACGGGAGGCAGCAGUGGGGAAUAUUGCACAAUGGGCGAAAGCCUGAUGCNGCGACGCCGCGUGAGGGAUGACGGCCUUCGGGUUGUAAACCUCUUUCAGCAGGGAAGAAGCGAAAGUGACGGUACCUGC
rnacentral:rRNA from 1 species